CUGGGACUCCUGAUGCUAGAUCAAAAGAAACUUUGCAGAUUAUGCUUGCUCUGGAGAAGGUGAGCUGCCAAAUAAGACAUCUGGAUACUGUGAGACUACCAUGUUGGAUAGGCCACAAAAUGGAGAAGAUCAGGGAAAGUCUGAAUGAAGGCCAGCAGGCAGUAUCAGCCGAACCAAGAAGGGCCAUAAAGCUGCAGACCAGGAAAUCUGCCCUCUGAGAGCACAGAAUUUAGAAUGGACAGCAAAUUUAGUAAAAGUGUUCCAGCUAGAAGAUUUGGAUGAAAAGUGAUUCCAAAAAAAUGAGGCAAUCUCAUCCCGAAACUAUUUAAAACUACUCUCCUCUCUCUUGAUAAACCGUCAGUAGGAAGUGUGUCGUUUAUUCCCUCACUCCACACUGGAUUCAUAUGGGCUGAUAGCAGCAGGAUUAAAAAUUUUUUU
rnacentral:lncRNA from 1 species